rnacentral:rRNA from 1 species
AUUGAACGCUGGCGGCAGGCCUAACACAUGCAAGUCGAACGGUAACAGGAAGAAGCUUGCUUCUUUGCUGACGAGUGGCGGACGGGUGAGUAAUGUCUGGGAAACUGCCUGAUGGAGGGGGAUAACUACUGGAAACGGUAGCUAAUACCGCAUAACGUCGCAAGACCAAAAAUGGGGACCUUCGGGCCUCUUGCCAUCUGAUGUGCCCAGAUGGGAUUAGCUAGUAGGUGGGGUAACGGCUCACCUAGGCGACGAUCCCUAGCUGGUCUGAGAGGAUGACCAGCCACACUGGAACUGAGACACGGUCCAGACUCCUACGGGAGGCAGCAGUGGGGAAUAUUGCACAAAGGGCGCAAGCCUGAUGCAGCCAUGCCGCGUGUAUGAAGAAGGCCUUCGGGUUGUAAAGUACUUUCAGCGGGGAGGAAGGGAGUAAAGUUAAUACCUUUGCUCAUUGACGUUACCCGCAGAAGAAGCACCGGCUAACUCCGUG